rnacentral:rRNA from 1 species
GAUGAACGCUGGCGGCGUGCCUAAUACAUGCAAGUCGAGCGAACAGACGAGGAGCUUGCUCCUUUGACGUUAGCGGCGGACGGGUGAGUAACACGUGGGUAACCUACCUAUAAGACUGGGAUAACUUCGGGAAACCGGAGCUAAUACCGGAUAAUAUUUCGAACCGCAUGGUUCGAUAGUGAAAGAUGGCUUUGCUAUCACUUAUAGAUGGACCUGCGCCGUAUUAGCUAGUUGGUAAGGUAACGGCUUACCAAGGCAACGAUACGUAGCCGACCUGAGAGGGUGAUCGGCCACACUGGAACUGAGACACGGUCCAGACUCCUACGGGAGGCAGCAGUAGGGAAUCUUGCGCAAUGGGCGAAAGCCUGACGGAGCAACGCCGCGUGAGUGAUGAAGGUCUUCGGAUCGUAAAACUCUGUUAUUAGGGAAGAACAAACGUGUAAGUAACUGUGCACGUCUUGACGGUACCUAAUCAGAAAGCCACGGCUAACUACGUG